GCGCCUUUAGCUCAACGGUAGAGCGUCUGACUGUGGCUCAGAAGGUUACGGGUUCGAGCCCCGUAAGGCGCC
rnacentral:tRNA from 1 species